rnacentral:lncRNA from 1 species
GAUUUGUAUCAAAUUAUGAAUAAUUAUAUUGGAUUUCGAAUCUGCCUAUUAUUAUCUAUUCCAAUUUUUAAUUAUGUAAUCUAAUUUCAUUUAUACAUUCUUGACAAUCAAUGAAGUUAAGGUAUGUAACUUUCUUUUUCAAGAUAAAUGAAUUAUAUUCUAAUCACGAUCUAAGUCUAUUUGUAGUACGAAUUCGAAUUAUUAGAAUGCAUUAAACUUUGGAUUAUUUAUAUGAUUGCACAUGUGAUAUUUUUAUUCCUAAUAUAUAUUGCCCAUGUGUAAACCUUAUCAUGUUCUAAACUUAUUAUAAAUCUCUCAACACUACAAUAAGUAAUUAGUUAUUUGAUUGGUGAUUAAACAAUUAAAUAAUGAAAUAAGAGUGCAAAAUUACUCAAGAAAUGCACGAAAUACUAAUUACUAGUCUUGAAUUAAAAUAAAUAAAAAAUAAGAUUCAUAUUCAUCCAAUACAAAAAUAGAUCUAGCCUAAUAUGAUUUUAUAUGAAUUACAAGAAGAAUCAUAGAAAAAUAUCGUUUGAAUCAUUAAAUAAUGCAAAAGCUAUUAAUCUUUAAAUCCAAAGUUGAAAUCUUCAAUUUCUUGAUAUAAUUGAAAUUCAAUUCUUGCUAGAUUUUAAUUCUCUCUGAAAAUAUAGCAAUUUACCUCUUGCUCUUGAUGAAUUUGAUGAUAUAAUUUUGCAUUAAGAGAGUAGAGAGACUAUCCAAUGUUUUGCCCAAAUUUGGUAUUUAUAGGAGUGAAAAAUGGGACAAAAUCACGAUAAAUCAAAAUUAAAUGACAAUUUCAAGUCAAACAAGAAUUUACAGACUUGCCCCCCCAAUUUGUGCUAAGCGCAUACAAACCUAUGAUCCGCACACUCGCCACAAGCAUUGUUGGUUCUAGGAAUAUCAACGAACCGAGCCGAAAUUCAAGGCGCUGGCUGGGCUCGAGUAAAAUCAAACGAGCUUUUUUUUAGCCCGAGGCAGCCGCUAGCUGCCUUUGUUCUAAUUUUUUUUUCUUUUUUAAUUAAGGCCUGAGCCGAUGAGCCGAGUUGACAUCCCUAGUUGGCUCCCUACUGCGAGUGCACUGACAUUUUUUUCUAUGCUCGCACCUAUUACUUUCAUUUUAGUGCAUUUCAGUCCCUGUUUUAUUCCAAUAUACAUUUUUUUUAUUUUUUAUUUUGAUCCUUCAUAUUUCAAUUACUUCCAACUUAUUUUUGUUACGAGGUCCAAAUAAGAAGUGUGCAAUUUGGUCCCCGAAACUUUGGAUUAAGUCUAUUUUCGCUCGUUUUUCGCUCCUCCUAUCCAAUUCACCCAACUUGCAUCAAGUUUUACCUAACAAACAUAACUAAGACAUAAUUAAGCUAUAAAUCAUACAAAUCAACAAUAAAUAUCAUAGUUGUUAUGACAAGUGUACAAAAUACACUUAUCAAUAAUCAAAUUCAAAAUUUAUUAGGUGGAUAACGAAAAAAUUUAUCAUGAUUUUCCUAAUAAAAAUAUUAAUACAACAAUUCCAAAUGAUAUGCAUUUGUAUAUAAGCAUGUAUUAUCAUAAUAUUUGGAAAUUAUUAUGACAUUGCUGUUAGUGAAAGAAUAAUGUCCCGCUCGGUGUUGCCCUUUUUUUUAUGGAUUUCAAUUUAAAUCGUAUCGAGAAAUUGACGCAGAUUUCCAUCAAUAUAUAAUCCUUGAAUUUUAUAAAUUUUCAAGCAUGUUUCAGCUAUAUUUUUUGAACUAAUGAUUGUUGUAAUAAUAAUUUUUUUUGAGAAUGUCUAGUUAAAAUGUAUGCUAAAAUUUUGAGUUUACGUGUAAAAUUAUUUUAUUGAAAGAAUGCAUGAUUAAUGAAUUUUUACAUUACGAGACUCAAACAAGGGGUUUCAUUCAACUAGAGACUAAGGGUGUAUUUGCUUACAAGCAUGAAAUUUGCAUAGAAAGAAAAUAAGUUUUAGACAAUUGAAUUCAAUUGUCUAGAACUUAUCUAUAUUAUAAUUGUCGAUUAAAUGUAUUUGAUUAACUUACUUUUAAACUAGAACUUGUUGUACAUUUUUAUAAAGUGAGUUAUUGUGACGUGUGGAUUGUCUAGAAAACAAAAACUAAAAUUCAAAAAGAAAAUAUUUUCCUUAUUUUUUAGGAAAAC